AUUGAACGCUGGCGGCAGGCUUAACACAUGCAAGUCGAGCGGAGAUGAGGUGCUUGCACCUUAUCUUAGCGGCGGACGGGUGAGUAAUGCUUAGGAAUCUGCCUAUUAGUGGGGGACAACAUUCCGAAAGGAAUGCUAAUACCGCAUACGUCCUACGGGAGAAAGCAGGGGAUCUUCGGACCUUGCGCUAAUAGAUGAGCCUAAGUCGGAUUAGCUAGUUGGUGGGGUAAAGGCCUACCAAGGCGACGAUCUGUAGCGGGUCUGAGAGGAUGAUCCGCCACACUGGGACUGAGACACGGCCCAGACUCCUACGGGAGGUAGCAGUGGGGAAUAUUGGACAAUGGGGGGAACCCUGAUCCAGCCAUGCCGCGUGUGUGAAGAAGGCCUUAUGGUCGUAAAGCACUUUAAGCGAGGAGGAGGCUACUGAGACUAAUACUCUUGGAUAGUGGACGUUACUCGCAGAAUAAGCACCGGCUAACUCUGUGCCAGCAGCCGCGGUAAAAC
rnacentral:rRNA from 1 species